GCCACACUGGGACUGAGACACGGCCCAGACUCCUACGGGAGGCAGCAGUAGGGAAUUUUCGGCAAUGGGGGAAACCCUGACCGAGCAAUGCCGCGUGAAUGAUGAAGGUCUUCGGACUGUAAAGUUCUGUUAUCGGGAACGAAUAACAUGGCGAGGAAAUGCGCCAUGCAUGACGGUACCCGAUGAGAAAGCCCCGGCUAACUAUGUGCCAGCAGCCGCGGUAAUACAUAGGGGGCAAGCGUUAUCCGGAAUUACUGGGCGUAAAGCGUGUGUAGGCGGCCCAUUAAGUCUGGCGUGAAAUCCCACAGCUUAACUGUGGAGGGUCGUUGGAAACUGAUGGGCUUGAGUACGGUAGAGGUAAGUGGAAUUCCAAGUGGAGCGGUGGAAUGCGUAGAUAUUUGGAGGAACACCAGUGGCGAAGGCGGCUUACUGGGCCGGAACUGACGCUGAGACACGAAAGCGUGGGGAGCAAACAGGAUUAGAUACCCUGGUAGUCCACGCCGUAAACGAUGAGCACUAAGUGUCGGAUGCAAAUUCGGCGCUGCAGUUAACACAUUAAGUGCUCCGCCUGGGGAGUACGGUCGCAAGACUGAAACUCAAAGGAAUUGACGGGGACUCGCACAAGCGGUGGAGCAUGCGGUUUAAUUCGAUGCAACGCGAAGAACCUUACCAGGUCUUGACAUCCCGCUGACAGCCCCAGAAAUGGGGUCUUCCUUCGGGACAGCGGUGACAGGUGGUGCAUGGUUGUCGUCAGCUCGUGUCGUGAGAUGUUGGGUUAAGUCCCGCAACGAGCGCAACCCUUAUCAUUAGUUGCUACCAUUAAGUUGAGCACUCUAAUGAGACCGCCGGUGACAAACCGGAUGAAGGUGGGGAUGACGUCAAAUCAUCAUGCCCCUUAUGACCUGGGCUACACGCGUGCUACAAUGGCCGGUACAAAGAGUCGCGAAGCCGUGAGGUGGAGCUAAUCUCAAAAAACCGGUCUCAGUUCAGAUUGUAGUCUGCAACUCGACUACAUGAAGGCGGAAUCGCUAGUAAUCGCGAAUCAGCAUGUCGCGGUGAAUACGUUCUCGAGUCUUGUACACACCGCCCGUCACACCAUGAGAGUUUGUAAUGCCCGAAACCGGUGGCCUAACCCGCAAGGGAGGGAGCCGUCUAAGGUAGGACAAACGAUUGGGGUGAAGUCGUAACAAGGUAUCCCUACGAGAACGUGGGGAUG
rnacentral:rRNA from 1 species